rnacentral:rRNA from 1 species
CCUACGGGUGGCAGCAGUCGAGAAUCAUUCACAAUGGGGGAAACCCUGAUGGUGCGACGCCGCGUGGGGGAAUGAAGGUCUUCGGAUUGUAAACCCCUGUCAUGUGGGAGCAAAUUAAAAAGAUAGUACCACAAGAGGAAGAGACGGCUAACUCUGUGCCAGCAGCCGCGGUAAUACAGAGGUCUCAAGCGUUGUUCGGAAUCACUGGGCGUAAGGCGUGCGUAGGCUGUUUCGUGAGUCGUGUGUGAAAGGCGCGGGCUCAACCCGCGGACGGCACAUGAUACUGCGAGACUAGAGUAAUGGAGGGGGAAGCGGAAUUCUCGGUGUAGCAGUGAAAUGCGUAGAGAUCGAGAGGAACACUCGUGGCGAAGGCGGGUUCCUGGACAUUAACUGACGCUGAGGCACGAAGGCCAGGGGAGCGAAAGGGAUUAGAUACCCGUGUAGUC